rnacentral:rRNA from 1 species
UACGAAGGGAGCUAGCGUUGUUCGGAAUCACUGGGCGUAAAGCGCACGUAGGCGGAUUUGCCAGUCAGGGGUGAAAUCCCGGGGCUCAACCUCGGAACUGCCUUUGAUACAGCAAGUCUUGAGUUCGAGAGAGGUGGGUGGAAUUCCUAGUGUAGAGGUGAAAUUCGUAGAUAUUAGGAAGAACACCGGUGGCGAAGGCGGCCCACUGGCUCGACACCGACGCUGAGGUGCGAAAGCGUGGGGAGCAAACAGG